CCUAAACCAUAAACCCUACCAAAAAACAUCCUAAUACGAAUCACAGAGAACGUAGAGUACUCCCUGUCCAGUCUUGCUACUUCCGGCAGCUCCAUUCUCCAUUUCCUCUUACUUUUAGACCGUCGAUCGUUACAUAUUGGGGCAAUGUUCAGAGCUGCAUUAGCUGUUGCUUCAUCAAUCAGGUCCUCAACUUCCAGGAAAUUGGUUUCUAGUAGGGUUGUUUCAAGCAGAAAUUAUGUUGCCAAGGAUAUCAGUUUUGGUAGCCACGCACGGUUAGCCAUGUUACAAGGAGUUAAUGAGCUUGCAGAAGCUGUAAAAGUCACUAUGGGACCAAAGGGUCGUAAUGUAAUUAUUGAGAGAAGCCCAGGGAAUCCCAAGGUCACAAAGGAUGGUGUCACUGUAGCCAAAAGCAUCAACUUUAAGGAAAAGGCAAAGAAUGUGGGAGCUGAUCUUGUGAAGCAGGUUGCUAAUGCUACUAAUUCAGUUGCUGGAGAUGGUACCACCUGUGCAACUGUGCUUACUCAGGCAAUUUUCAUAGAAGGUUGCAAAGCUGUUGCUGCAGGUGUAAGCGUGAUGGAUUUGCGUACUGGUAUUAACAUGGCCGUUGAUGCUGUUGUUGCUGACUUGAAAAGCAGAGCCGUCAUGAUUAGUACCCCGGAGGAGAUUACACAGGUGGCAACUAUAUCUGCAAAUGGUGAAUGUGAAAUUGGGGAACUAAUAGCUCGAGCCAUGGAAAAAGUUGGGAAGGAAGGAGUGAUUACUGUUGCUGACGGAAAUACGUUAGAUAAUGAGUUGGAAGUGGUGGAAGGCAUGAAGCUUGGCCGUGGUUAUAUAUCUCCUUAUUUUGUCACGGACGUGAAGACUCAAAAAUGUGAAUUGGAAAAUCCAUUGAUCCUUAUUCAUGACAAGAAAAUCUCAGAUUUGAACUCGCUUGUGCGGAUAUUGGAGCUUGCUCUUAAGAGAAGGAGGCCUCUGUUAAUUGUUGCUGAAGAUGUGGAAAGUGAUGCAUUAGCUAUGCUUAUCCUAAACAAGCAUCGUGCUGGGAUUAAGGUCUGUGCCAUUAAAGCUCCUGGUUUUGGGGAUAAUAGAAGAUCCAACUUGGAGGACCUUGCAGUUCUUACUGGAGGAGAGGUCAUUAGUGCAGAACGCGGUUUAGAUCUGAACAAAGUUCAAAUUGAUAUGCUUGGUACUGCCAAAAAGGUUACUGUUUCCCUUGAUGACACCUUAGUUCUGCAUGGAGGUGGGGACAAAAAGUUAAUUGAAGAAAGGUGUGAGCAGCUAAGAAUAGCCAAGGAAAAGAGUAGUGCCAUGUUUGAUAAGGAGAAAGCUCAGGAGCGUUUGUCAAAACUAUCUGGUGGUGUUGCUGUGUUCAAGGUUGGAGGGGCCAGUGAGGCGGAAGUUGGGGAAAGGAAAGAUAGGGUUACAGAUGCCUUAAAUGCAACAAGGGCUGCUGUGGAAGAGGGCAUUGUUCCAGGUGGCGGUGUUGCUCUCCUAUAUGCAAUCAAAUGUCUUAAAGGCCUUCAGACUGCAAAUGAUGGCCAAAGAAAGGGAGUCGAGAUCAUUGAGAAUGCUCUCAAGGCACCUACUUUUACAAUAGCUUCAAAUGCCGGCACUGACGGUGCCUUGGUUGUAGGCAAGCUCUUAGAACAAGAUGAUUCAAAUCUAGGAUAUGAUGCAGCUAAAGGUACGUACCAACACAUGGUGAAGGCUGGAAUUAUUGAUCCCAUGAAAGUAGUUAGAACAGCAUUGGUGGAUGCUGCCAGCGUCUCUUUGCUAUUGACGACAACUGAGGCUGCCAUUGUGGACCGUCAAGGGGAGAUAAACCCACUUGCAAACCGCAUGCCAAACAUGGGUGAUAAGUACUGAUAUUGCAAACACAGAUGAACUUGAUGAUCGUGUUGUGGCUGUGACGAAGCAAUCCUAAGACGGGUUACUCUACGGGACACGCUGUUGAUUUAUUCAUUUAGUGUGUAUUUUGCGUUGGAAUGGAAUUAUGCGAAGACCAGUUGGUUCGAGCCCAAAGCAAUAAAUUUAGUUGAAUUCUGUAUAGCCACGAAAGAGAUUGUAACUUGUAAUAGUUUAGCUCGAGCGGAAAAUAUAUUUGCUCUACGGAGUAAUACGACGUGGAAUGACUUUAUUUGAGUUUUAAUAUUAACAUACUACUUUAACCCAAAAAAGAAAAAACACGAAAGAGACGAUAAAUAAAGAGAUCAUUGUACUGA